UAUCAUUUUCAUUUAGGUGUUAUGAUCUGAAUUCAGUUAUAAGAAUAUGUGUUAUUUGUAAGAAAUGUAACUCUACCAAAAAUAUGUGUUACACUAAAAUUUAACCAUGUGAAUGUAAUUUCAGGGUCAUCAAGACUAGAGUUUCUCAUUGAAUGCAUCCUAUCUUGAUCAAUAUUUACAUAAUAUAUAUAUACACAUAAUCAAUGAUUUGGCGUAUUUGUUGUAUACACAAACUUAUUA
rnacentral:lncRNA from 1 species